rnacentral:rRNA from 1 species
CAGUCGCCGCGGUAAUACGAAGGGUGCAAGCGUUAAUCGGAAUUACUGGGCGUAAAGCGUGCGUAGGCGGUGAGUUAAGUCUGCUGUGAAAUCCCCGGGCUCAACCUGGGAACUGCAUUUGUGACUGUAUAGCUAGAGUACGGCAGAGGGGGAUGGAAUUCCGCGUUUAGCAGUGAAAUGCGUAGAUAUGCGGAGGAACACCGAUGGCGAAGGCAAUCCCCUGGGCCUGUACUGACGCUCAUGCACGAAAGCGUGGGGAGCAAACAGGAUUAGAUACCCGUGUAGUCCCUGUCUCUUAUAC